CGCGUGUUGUGUACCUCACAGGCUUAAAUUUGGACUUGAGCUUCAUCUGCACAUAUUUGAGAGCUGUUGCAUAUUUUAUGAUUAAGUCUUCAUAAUUAAUUAUUUUUAAAAAAGAACAUAAAAAAUAUCUAAUAUAAAAUAAUAAAAAUUAAAUAAUAAAAAUUUUAAUAUUUUUUAUAUCAUAUUUAAUGAACUGAUCUAUCAUCCUAAGAU
rnacentral:lncRNA from 1 species